UACGGAGGGUGCAAGCGUUACUCGGAAUUACUGGGCGUAAAGCGCACGUAGGCGGCUCUUUAAGUCGGGGGUGAAAUCCUGGAGCUCAACUCCAGAACUGCCUUCGAUACUGAAGAGCUCGAGUCCGGGAGAGGUGAGUGGAACUGCGAGUGUAGAGGUGAAAUUCGUAGAUAUUCGCAAGAACACCAGUGGCGAAGGCGGCUCACUGGCCCGGUACUGACGCUGAGGUGCGAAAGCGUGGGGAGCAAACAGG
rnacentral:rRNA from 1 species